rnacentral:tRNA from 2 species
AAGAAGGUGGCAGAGUGGUUAUGCGACUGGCUUGAAACCAGUACAUGGGGGUUCAAUUCCCUCCUUUCUCG